AAGGCCCAGGGCGAAGCAACCAAACCCUUCGCGAGAUCAGAAGCGAAACCCUAGCGGCGAAUCCCCACACGACGCGCCGGAGCGGGGAGAGGGGCCAUGGCGGCGGCGGCGGCGGCGGUGGAGAAGGUCAAGGCGCUCUGGGACUCGCAGGUCAACGACGAGGAGGCUUGGGCGUUCAACUACAAGCUGAUGAAGGCUGGUGGUCUGUUUGUUGCAUCCAUCUUCGUGAUGCGCAACUUUGGUGACCUGAUGGCCAUCUAAAGAGGAGCUGAUGCGACAGUAACGUGGAUCCACCAGAGCUGUGUGUCUUGUUAGCUGUUAGUUUUCACUUUUAUGUCAGCAACGCAACCAGACUUGUUCUUAGGAUCAUGAAUUACAAACUGCUCACUCGAGAAUUGAGAUAGUUUUCAUGAUAUAAUGGAAGCCAGAGUGCUACUGGUUUUGUGAAUCAGCAGGCGAAUCUGCGAAAACUCAAUUGGGAUAUCCUUUAGUUGAGACUGGCCAAGUUCUCUACACUCCAAUCCAUGAUGUAGUGCAUUGUACUAGUUGUUGCAUUGUGUUGAUGACUUGCUGUGAAAUCUUUAUCUCACUGAUAUCGAUUAUGCAUGUUAUUCUUUCGUG